GCUCACCGAUUUGUUCCCUGUGCGUCCGAAAUUUUCGCCUUUCCAGAGAUUAUUGUCCGCGUCCGAGAAAGUUGAACGACGAUUAUACCUGAAUCGCUUGCUUAACUGACGAGCCAAAAAUUACGAGCGAAUGACCAACCCAGUGGAAUUCUGGAUUCUUAACCAUACUUGGUCAAUACAAUUUCAGGUUCGACAUUAGUGGAUUGCAAGGAGGUUUCACAUUAGAGAAACGCGAGCAGCAGUGUGAAGAUUACAUCCGGCGCAUGGUCGGAUAAGUUCGUGCUCAUGCUGGUAAAUGGCGGGAUCGAUCCCGCCGUUUGUGCUGCCCUUUUCCAUAAAGCACUUCUGUAGGAGUGACGACUCGCCAUCUAUAUCGAUAACGGUUUCUUGCGUAAAUACAGGAGGAACAGAUCGUCACUAGUUUACAGCAACUCGGGCUCAAUCUUCGGGUAAUUUGAGAUACCUUUUUGGACCGUUCAGAAUCUUAUGAUUGGAACAAAUUUCCAAAAUUCGUCGUCCUGUCACAUCUCGGAAUCUGUUUGGGUAUAGCGUUUUGGGUUUAAAUCCUUACAGAAUUGAAUGACUACCUUGGUCGAAUGCUUUGUUUUGUUUACGUUGAUUAUGCUUCAAUCCUUUACAAGUGGGAAAAGCUUGCGUUUAGGCAGCAAGAAGGUAUUGUGCGUGUCCACGUACGAAUCAUGGCUUAAUGGGUGAGCAUCAGAUUGUGACGCUGGAUGAUAGUGGAUCAAAUAUAACACAAUAUAUUUGCUGA